rnacentral:rRNA from 1 species
AUGAAGAAUAAUUAGUGGCAGACGGGUGAGUAAUGCAUAGGAAUCUACCUAGUAGUAUGGGAUAGCCACUAGAAAUGGUGGGUAAUACUGUAUAAUCCCUGCGGGGGAAAGAUUUAUCGCUAUUAGAUGAGCCUAUGUUAGAUUAGCUAGUUGGUAGGGUAAAGGCCUACCAAGGCGAUGAUCUAUAGCUGGUCUGAGAGGAUGAUCAGCCACACUGGAACUGAGAUACGGUCCAGACUCCUACGGGAGGCAGCAGUGGGGAAUAUUGGACAAUGGGCGCAAGCCUGAUCCAGCUAUGCCGCGUGAGUGAGGAAGGCCUUAGGGUUGUAAAGCUCUUUCAGUAGGGAAGAUAAUGACGGUACCUACAGAAGAAGUCCCGGCAAACUCCGUGCCAGCAGCCGCGGUAAUACGGAGGGGGCAAGCGUUGUUCGGAAUUAUUGGGCGUAAAGGGCAUGUAGGCGGUUCGGUAAGUUAAAGGUGAAAUGCCAGGGCUUAAC